CACGAUGCACCUGAGUAAAAGAUCCACACGCUUGGUAAUCAACAUGUACGCUCGUGAUUAAAACAAUUUGAAUCCAUCUAAUCGCUCUGGACCGUGCCACAUCAUUACCGGAGUAAAGCGACGGUCGUCUUCUCAGGCGACCUUGGCCGGACUGGACCAUUCAUCACCACAUCAUAAAUGAAAAAGGAGGACAUGAUCUGAAAGAUAAAAUGACGUAGAUCACGAAUAUCACCUCAAUUUUAACUAAGUCCAAAUAUAUAGAGAGAUGUGUGGAGUUGAAUUUUGAGGUGUGUCAACUGAGUUGCU
rnacentral:lncRNA from 1 species